AUACUUACCUGGCAGGGGUGAUACCAUGAUCACGAAGGUGGUUUUCCCAGGUGAGGCUUACACAUUACAUUCCAGAUGUGCUGAUCCCUGCGAUUUCCCCAAAUGUGGGAAAUGAUUGCAUAAUUUAUGGUUGUGGGGGACUGCGUUUCUGUUCUCCCCUG